rnacentral:lncRNA from 1 species
CUGGGCUGCUGGUCCUGGGUUCUGGAGGGUGGGGUGAGCAAGCCAUGGGAAGCAAGCCAGUAAGCAGCAUCCUCCAUGGCCUCUGCAUCAGCUCCUGCUUCUGGGAUCCUGACCUGUUUUGAGUCCCUGGCCUGACUUCCUGUAGUGAUGAACAGCAAUGCUGAAGUGUAAGCAUUAAGCAGAUAAACCCUUUCCUCCUCAACUUGUUCUUUGAUCAUGGUGUUUCAUCGCAGCAAUAGAAACCCUAACGAAGACAGGUGAGCUAGAUGCUGAGAAUACAAGGGUCAGCAUGGUGGCUAUGGGCUGGAGGUCCGUGGGUGAGCAUACCCUCGCUCGUCUAGUGUGCUUAGGUGGCUCAGAUCCCCAACACCGUGAAACACAAGAAAACAAACAUGAUGACUGUGGAGCCUGUCUUUAACACUUUCCAGUCUCAUGAACGAGCAGACCGGGAAUGCAGAUAUAGCCUGCUGAAUUGCAUGUGGAGAGAAUUUACGAGCGGCACAGAUCCCAUAUUUCACAUGAAUGGUUUCCCCAGUUUGCAUUUUCCAGUAGUAGCAAGCUCAACUCUGUUAUUGACAGAUCGCCCUGGGGCCGCCAGCUACAGCCCUGUUUGCAUAGCCAGCUGAGGUGGCACUUUCUCUUGGACAUAUUUUCACAAACAAGUCCUUGACUCUUGUCCCCACAUCUUUCCAAAGCCAGCUCCUUCCUGAGUGGUGGCCUUCAUUAUGACAGUUAAACAGCAAGCCUAAGCAAGCAUCCUACGCAAGUGAUCAGGGGAGAAAUGUCUUGAAGAGAUUAUAAAGAAAGGCAGCCAACAAAGAAAUUCCUCCUCAGAAUACGACUUUCUGGGCAGUUUUUCAACAAUGCAAAAACACAUGUGCAAGUUACCCAAGAUCUCUUUCUCCAGGGUCCCAUGGUUCGGCUUGGCUGUCAACUGCCCCAUUCCCAUCAGUGGACAGCGGCCGGGAGAGAAAGCAACCUCUGUGACUGUAAGUGAUUCCCAGGCUGGCUAUUGCCACCUGUCAUAGAUCCCGCUGACGCACCUCCACUGUCACACCGGCAGCGCUCCACCCAUCGUCCUGUCCCGAAUUUCUUAAGACCCACAGACUGAGUGUUCUCUACUGACCACAGCUCAGCACUGGAAGCUGGGGCUGGUGGGUGGGGGAAGGUAAAGUGUUUCCAUCCAAAGGAUUUUUUUUUGUUGUUUUUUUUCUGGGACAGAGAGCCUAAAAUAACACAGAGCUAUGUCGAGUCUUUCCAGGGGAAUGCGGGGGCAGUGAUUGCCGUGGCCGCUGCUUCUGCUGUGACUCCAGAAAAUUUCCGGGAACAUGGUGUGUUCAUGAGGAUCCUGGGCACUGUGCUCAUAGACCUAGUGUGAUGGACACUCUCGCCUGGGAUGCUGAGAAAUGAGGACGUAAACUAGUGAAGUCCUGGCUCUUCUGUCCUUGGAGAUGAAAGCAUUUAUGAAUUUUGAUAUGCUAUCUUCUUCCUUUCUUCUCUCUUUCCCUCUCCUCCACCCUCAACCCUCUGCAAUAGUCAUGGAAUUCACACCAAUACUCAACUAGGUACCUUGAGAAGCACAAGGGUGUGCUCUGAGACAGAGAGCACAGGGCAAGGAUGCCGCUCUCUCUCUCUCUCUCUCUCUCUCUCUCUCUCUCUCUAAGACAACCCGCCUUCACCUUUUCCUCAUUUCCUCAACAGUGCAUGUUGCUCACAGGAAGCUCACGACCCUGUUAGCAACAUGGAAGGGUGCUGCUGGGGAAUGAAAUAUGCUUCCUGCUUCUGUGGACUCCUGGGAAAGGCAGGCACUUGGGCAAAGAAUGGAAGCCUGGAAAUUUUCCUUCUAUAGAAGGGUAGAUGCAACAGACUAAGAUUAGGUCUGGCUUUAUUGCACCUCAAAGUGCUCUCACUAGAACAGUGUACUACAUAGUGCAGGCUUUACAGCAAUCCUAUGAGGUGGUCAGGGAAGUUUCACUAGUUUUAGGUCCCUCUGUGUCUCCUGGAGUGGGUAUUCCCUUGAGGAGAGACUCUCAUUGGUGAAGUAAACACAGAAGGAAGACAGCUAACUUAGCACCUCCUCUAAGCAGCUCAGGGAAUCAAGAAAGAGAAGCAGAACUGUGCAGAGAAAAGUGAAUUCCACCUGACCACCUGGGCUCUUGCUCCAGCUCUCAGCCAUAGGCAGGACACACAAUUGUGCACACAACUUCCUCACUCCUUGGUGUCCUCUUCUCUGAUAUGGGUUCCGCACUGUUCUCUCUGCCCACUUUAUUGGCAUGGUAUGAUUUUGUUUUUUGAAAUAGGGUCUUGCUCUGUAGCCUAGGCUAGCCUCGAACUCUCUAUGUAGAUCAGGCUGGUCUUAAACUCAUACAAUUCUCCUGCUUCCUCUUCUCAAGUACUAUACACAUUAAACAUAGUAAUAGAUAUGAAACAGGUUGUAAAC